UCUCCAGUGGUUAAGACCCUGCACUUUCAAUGCAGGGAGCACAGGUUCGAUUCCUGGUUGGGGAA
rnacentral:tRNA from 1 species